UAUCCGCGGGCUGAGGGUGGGGCUGCGGCUCCGCGGUGCGACUGUCCUGUUUCCCCCACACUCCAGGGGCUCCUCAGGGCGACCCUCCUGCACUCCUUCACACUCCAGGGGCGCCUCAGGGCGCCCUUCCCACUCUCCGUCACCCUUCCGGGGCUCCUCAGGGCGACCCUGCCUCCCUCACCGUCCUGGGGGCUCCUCAGGGCACCACUCCCGCCCUCGCAGGGCUCUUCAGGGCUCCUCACCCUCCCGGGGCUCCUCAGGGCGACCUUCCCACACUCCCUCACGCUCCAGGGGCUCCUCAGGGCAACCCUCCCGCCCUCCCUCCCUCCUACUCCAGGGGCUCCCCAGGGCACCUCUCCCGCCCUCACGGGGCUCGUCAGGGCGUCCUUCCCGCCCCCUCACCCUGGCGCCGGGCUGCCCACGCCAUAGCCACAGCACAGCUGUCGCCCGGGGCACGGCUGCGUGAGGGGCUUGAGCUGCUUGGCCGCUCCCUGCUCUGAGGGAGCCCUUCCGCUGCCCGCCGCUGUUCCCGGUCAGGAGCUGCAGGACAGGAGGCCAAGAUUUUUCAGUCUCUGCAGGGAGAGUUGAAUUACUCUUAACUAUAUGGGCAUUGCAGAGAUGAAAGGGAAAGUGCUCCAGCUGAGAUGUCUUGGUAAUGCUCCCACACCAUCUCAAAACACUGGCUCUACUGGCAGUAAACCUGCAGCCUCUGUUUUUGACACACCAAUGUCACAGGAGUUUCAAGGUGGGGCAGAAGAUGAUGCAGAUGGUGAGAAACUCAGCCCCAGCUCCUCUGCUAAGGAGGCAUCAGUGCCUCUUCUUACAUGGAAAAACCUAUGCAAAUAAAUUUCCUGUGUGUGGGGACUCUGCUAUACUUUAGCCAUGAUUUCUGCAAAAGCCUUGGUUAGCAGGACAGCUGUACUAUGGACAGGACAGGUAAAUAUGGAGUGACAUCUGUGAGCUUUCUUCACUGCCAAACAGCAGACACCUGACCUGCUGCAAAGUGGGGUCUCCAUUAAAUGAGGGCAGAAUGCAGGUGGGGGUCCUGAACUGAUCUCACUUGGUUUCUAAGUGAAGCUGUCUCUCCUCUGACCCAUAACAGCCAAAUCUAGAAAUGCAUUAAGCAUCUUAAUGCCCUCUACCUUCUCCAGAAAUCGGGUGCCUAUGUAUCCCUUAUUUUCUGUGCUUUACUUGCUCCUGCCUGGC